rnacentral:rRNA from 1 species
AAUGGGNGCAAGCCUGAUCCAGCCAUGNCGNGUGAGUGAAGAAGGCCUUCGGGUUGUAAAGCUCUUUCAGAUGUGAAGAUGAUGACGGUAGCAUCAGAAGAAGCCCCGGCUAAUUUCGUGCCAGCAGCCGCGGUAAUACGAAAGGGGCAAGCGUUGUUCGGAUUUACUGGGCGUAAAGGGCACGCAGGCGGUCUUGCCAGUCAGGGGUGAAAGCCCGGGGCUCAACCCCGGAACUGCCUCUGAUACUGCAGGACUAGAGACUAGGAGAGGGUGGUGGAAUUCCCAGUGUAGAGGUGAAAUUCGUAGAUAUUGGGAGGAACACCAGAGGCGAAGGCGGCCACCUGGACUAGAUCUGACGCUCAGGUGCGAAAGCGUGGGGAGCAAACAGGAUUAGAUACCCUGGUAGUCCACGCCGUAAACGAUGAGUGCUAGUUGUCGGGACUUCGGUUUCGGUGACGCAUCUAACGCAUUAAGCACUCCGCCUGGGGAGUACGGUCGCAAGAUUAAAACUCAAAGGAAUUGACGGCUCA